AUGAACGCUGGCGGCGUGCCUAAUCCAUGCAAGUCGAGCGAACAGAUAAGGAGCUUGCUCCUUUGACGUUAGCGGCGGACGGGUGAGUAACACGUGGAUAACCUACCUAUAAGACUGGGAUAACUUCGGGAAACCGGAGCUAAUACCGGAUAACAUAUUGAACCGCAUGGUUCAAUAGUGAAAGGCGGCUUUGCUGUCACUUAUAGAUGGAUCCGCGCCGUAUUAGUUAGUUGGUAAGGUAACGGCUUACCAAGGCAACGAUACGUAGCCGGCCUGAGAGGGUGAUCGGCCACACUGGAACUGAGACACGGUCCAGACUCCUACGGGAGGCAGCAGUAGGGAAUCUUCCGCAAUGGGCGAAAGCCUGACGGAGCAACGCCGCGUGAGUGAUGAAGGUCUUCGGAUCGUAAAACUCUGUUAUCAGGGAAGAACAAAUGUGUAAGUAACUGUGCACAUCUUGACGGUACCUGAUCAGAAAGCCACGGCUAACUACGUG
rnacentral:rRNA from 1 species